CUUAUGGAGUAUAACACUGAGAGCAGUCUCUGUGUUCCUAUGUCUAUGCAGAUACUGACUAGGUCUCACCCCCUUGAUAAGAAAAUGUGUAGUAUAGUUGUUCAGAAACCAGCUAGAACAAAGGACAGAUAUGUUUUGUUCCUUUUACAUUAAAUAUAUUAAAGUUAGUUUUGUUCUACAGGUAUAAAAACUGAAGCAGAGAUAUAAUUUGAGUUGACCCUUAGCUAGUUUUGCCAGUUUCUUCAUCUGAGUUGUAGUAAAAUUCUUCCCCCUCUUCUGUCCUGCCCAGAAAUCAGUCAAUGGAUAAUUGAGAGUUGAGUUCACAAGUUAGUGAAAUGGAAAGGACUUCUAAUCUGGUGCUUGACAUGCCUUUUUAGGCAGUGUAUAUCUGUCCCUCUUCACCUGACUGAAAAUACAAGUAUUUGUUAAAAGGUGGAGCUAGAAAACAUUUAUGAGAUUUAUUAAUGCCAAGAGGAAUUUAUUAAAUUUCUAAGAGGAAAUUUACUUUUAUAGGUGAAAUAAACUCAGUUUUGCUCAGUUUGAGUCUGUUUGUUUCAGUAUUUAUAUUCUUGCUCCUCUGGGAAGGUUUAUUCUUUGUAAAAGUGUCCCAUUGACAUGGAGCUUAUUUUGCCCAGGCAGGCAUUCAUCUUUAUGUCCAUUUGGGUAAUGAUGCUGCAGCUGCACACCCAGCUUUUCUGUUCAUAAGUUUUUGACCAGUAUAAUGAAAUUUUGAGCUAGAGUAGUAUCAUCUUUAUGUAGUAUAACAGCUGAAACCCUGAUUUUCAUAGAAGUUCAAUUUAGAGAUGUUCACUAACAUCUUUAUUGGCUUCUAU